CCAGCUCUCACACCCAUACAUGACCACUGGAAAAACCAUAGCUUUGACUAUACGGACCUAAUAUAAAGUAAACUUUUUUUUUUUGAAGGACUCAAGCAGGGUCCUUUGGGUUGCCUGCUGAUUGUAUGAGGAUGGAGAGGCAGUGUACAGGUGACCUGUCUAUCUCAAAUUCCUUCUUUGGGACACAGAACCCAGACUGUGUCCGGGGUCGAGUAGUAGGCUCAUUUGGGUACAUCAGCAACAUCAUUUUUGGUCUUUGAUUCUAUGCUCUCUGCCUCUCUGACUGUGAAUUCUUCGCAGGUUUGAAAAUACUGCAAUCAUACCUUAGCAAGAGGGACAGAUCCACAUUUUAUGGGACCUAAAAUUUAUAUGACUUUGGAGAUCCUCGCUAAGAAAAAUAAUACAAGAGAAGGAAACCGGCUAUGGGUGAAACAGCACUUUACUGAAAGCCACUGCGGUAAAACCAGCUGCAAGUUGAGGUCACAUUCAGCAAGCAAGACACACUGGUCAAUAUGAAGGCCUCUUGCAUUGGAUUUGGCUUCUGAUUCAUCAUCUUCAGCGUCAGGAUAAUUACGGAUUUGCUUUCAACAGCGGAUUCAUAUAUCCAGUGGGUCAUUAACUCCAUUUCAGUGACACUCACUAAACACCUUCAUUGAGCUUACUGUUCUGACAGGCACUGUAGAAAACAUGGUCUCUUCAGGCAAUAAAAUCUAAUUUAUUUAACUUGUCAUAUUAUUGUAAUUUAGAUGUAUUUCCUAUAGUUUGCUCAUUUUAUCUUUCAUUUCUCAGUUUUUUGAAACAUCAGAGCAAUAAGUGGUGCAAUAGCUGCUUAGUAAAUUUUUUUAUGCACAUUAUUCUUCUGCUUAUGAAUUUGUAAACUAAUCAGUUCAUAUGCUAAUCUGCUAUGGAUCUGUGUUAUUUAAUUAAAUCUGAAAAUAGUAUAUUAAUAUUUAUCAAUGUUUAACUGACUAAAGUCAACCUUAUAUAUAUAUUUAAAUUAAGUAUCACUGUAAACAAUGGAACCAUAAAAAAUUCCUGAACAUUUUGGGUCAGAUUUUUCAAAUCUGAGAGGAAUGAAAAGCUCGGGUUAUCAGCAGUAAUCUUUUAAAACUCAGGGUGCUUGAAGGCCAGCCAAAAUUAUAAUGAGCUUGAAGCAAAUUAUCU
rnacentral:lncRNA from 1 species